GUUAUUUUUGCCUGCGCUUUUGACAGAAGGCAAGCUGCUGGUAUUUAGUGGUUUAUGAGACUCUAUUAAGGCAGCGAAGGUUUUAGAACUGCGGAAGACCAUUGGCCUAGUCGCUGUCUGCAACGCCCGUGUGAAGCUGUUUAUUGUUAAACAUAUUAAUUGACUUAAGUGUUCCUCUAGGUGCUGUUAAGUCCAAAGCGAAUGGCCCAAGCUGUGAGUUAACGACAUAAGGUUGCGUACCGUCUGGGACCAGAGGAGGAGCCGCGGGGCUGGGGGCGGGGGUCCGCGGCGCGGCGUGUGCAGGCGCACCGGUUAUUCCACUCCUGCUGUUCCCCUCUCCUGACUCCGGCGCAUUGCGAUGGAGCGUGGAAAGAGAUUCCCCUAAGUGACUGUGCUGAAAUUCCACUGCCAUACAUUGGCUGUAGAAGAAGACUGAUUGAAUCCCAGGUGAGGUCCAGAGCGGCCCGUCACCCAAGCCUGCGUUGGUAACGUCAGCAUGCACGGGAUCAUCAGAACCAAAUGAGGCCUUCAGCGCUCUGUCUCGCUCUAUUCCCCGCUGCCCCAUCACAAUCUGGCUCCAUCCUGUGCAGCUGAUCAUCCAGAGGUUGGGGUCAUCUCUCUGUGAGAAACUGAAAGCUGGACACAAUGAGGAGCAAACAGCAUCUGCAACUGAAGUGAUGAUGACUUUCCAGCUGCUGCAUGUGUCCAAAAAACUGGUGCAUCUCCCCCCAAAAAGACAAUAUAACAGUGAAAUAUUCCUUGACACUCGGUGGACAAUACAUAAUGAUCCUAACCAAUAAAUAUUCAACCAACCACAAACAUAAUUUGU
ensembl:lncRNA